rnacentral:rRNA from 1 species
GGCCUAACACAUGCAAGUCGAGCGGUAGCAGGAAGUGCUUGCACUUCGCUGACGAGCGGCGGACGGGUGCGUAACACGUAGGAAUCUGCCCGGUAGUGGGGGAUAGCCCGGAGAAAUUCGGAUUAAUACCGCAUACGCCCUAAGGGGGAAAGCAGGGGAUCUUCGGACCUUGCGCUAUCGGAUGAGCCUGCGUCGGAUUAGCUAGUUGGUGGGGUAAAGGCCUACCAAGGCGACGAUCCGUAGCUGGUCUGAGAGGAUGAUCAGCCACACUGGGACUGAGACACGGCCCAGACUCCUACGGGAGGCAGCAGUGGGGAAUAUUGCACAAUGGGCGAAAGCCUGAUGCAGCCAUGCCGCGUGUGUGAAGAAGGCCCUAGGGUUGUAAAGCACUUUCAGUGGGGAGGAAAGGUCGAAGGUUAAUACCCUUUGGCUGUGACGUUACCCACAGAAGAAGCACCGGCUAACUCCGUGCCAGCAGCCGCGGUAAUACGGAGGGUGCGAGCGUUAAUCGGAAUUACUGGGCGUAAAGCGUGCGUAGGCGGCCAUUUAAGUUGGAUGUGAAAGCCCCGGGCUCAACCUGGGAACUGCAUCCAAAACUGGGUGGCUUGAGUGCGAGAGAGGAGUGUGGAAUUUCCUGUGUAGCGGUGAAAUGCGUAGAUAUAGGAAGGAACACCAGUGGCGAAGGCGACACUCUGGCUUGACACUGACGCUGAGGUACGAAAGCGUGGGGAGCAAACAGGAUUAGAUACCCUGGUAGUCCACGCCGUAAACGAUGUCUACUAGUUGUCGGUGGUCUUGUACUGCUGGUAACGCAGCUAACGCGAUAAGUAGACCGCCUGGGGAGUACG